AUGCGGCUGACGCCUGGGUAACGCGAUCGGGCCCUAGCUACACCUUCGCUGAGGUCAGCCCCGGGGAGAGCGGUCAGUACUACUGCAAGGCACGCAACCGCAUCGGCGUCCAUAGCUCGCCUGUCCUCACUGUCAGGGUCAGAGGCAGACUGAAGGUUAUCGCCCUGGCCUCAGCUGUGGGCGUGUCUGCUGGUCUCAUCACUCUCACUGUGGCCAUCAUGAUCAGAGGCCAUCGGUGAGAGCUGACAGCCUGUUCUACGAGUCAGUCCAGCAGACCCUUCAGCUGAGGACUGGCAAGAUGUCCGACAUCCCGGGACGUUAAACAACAACUCCCACUCUGCACCACUAGAUGGAGACACCAUGGUCGUCCACUUGUAAUAAUCAGGUCAUGCCAUUAGAAUACCUCAUGAUUAGAUUCCCAUCUUCUUUUGAAAGAUCAAAGGUAACAAUAUGUACCUACACUUUAAUUACACUGCACCUACCAUGUAAAUACAUCAGGGGGAGUUACAACCCCAUCAUUCGGCCCCAUUUUAAACCCAGGUUUGGGUUCUCUCUAUUGAAGUGACAUCAACCCUUCUUCAGUCCUCUCAUAGGAAUCCCCCUAUUUUCUCUGUGUUUGAUAGGAGGAGUCAGAGGUGUAUGAGAGUGCCCAUCCCUCCAUCGUACCCCUGAAGGAUGCUCCACCCUGCACAGAGGCAGACAGCAUCCUCAACUAUAUCACCAUGCAUUACUCCAGGAUCCCCAGUCUGGACCAGAUUCAAGUUACAAAUAUACCACUGGAUGGUGAUAAAGAGCCAAAAGAUAUUGCCAAUGUUGUUUACACAGUCCUGGCCAGACCACACCAGUAGUGGUGCAGGUAAAUUAGGACAUCUUUUGAUGUCACUAAUUUAUCUCAGCUAAUAUAUGAACAGAGAGUUAUAUACACCUCACAAUCUAAUUAAAUAAUUUGCAAUAAGUUCAAGUUUGACCAUAGAGACAAACAUAUUCUAAAUGUGAAUUCAGUGACACACCUCCAUUAACUUCCUAUUUUUUUCCGCAUAUCUCCCAGAUGAGAACUGUAGUGUCCUUUGCUCAGUUUAUCAGUUGAGUGACAUCGCCAGAAGGAUCUCUACCAUCUACCCCUGAACUGCAUCUCAGCAGGACUGCUCACUCUAAGCCAAUUUAUGUUUUAUCUAAUUUACUACAAAGUUUAAUUUACUAGGAAUAGUUCAAGUAGGUACCUGUAAUUCAUUUGGCAUUAUAAGUGGCAUUAUAACUAAUUUAUUAGCAUUUAACAUUUUACUAGUAGUGGCCAGAUUAUUAAAUAUUCCGAUAGCAGAAUCAUCCUAAAAAUUCAACCUUUUCACCUUCAGAAGGAAGUAAUUUUGGGCAUUUUCUCUCUAGGUUCUCUCUAUCUCCUCCAUAAGAUAUCAUUAAAAUGUAACAUACUUUACAAAUGAAGUUUGGUAUACAUCAUCCCUCAUGCUAGUCUUAUGGAGAAUAUGUGUAAAUGUGUUACUGAUCAUAUCUGAUGUUUAGGGUAUGGUUGGUAUGUCCCAAAUUGCUUGUUGAAAUAGCUUGUUGUCAAAUAAAAGCAUUUAAAUGAAGAAAAAAUUAGUAGAUGUAUUAAAGAAAUAUUUAUCAGGUUGACACUUACCCUGUUUAUUCCGCUGUAUCAUGUUGUGGAUGUCAGUACUGAGUUAUUGGUAAAUUAUUAACAUACGAACUGUGUACUACUACUCAUAACAGAUGAACACGGAAAUAAUGCAGAGGUCAGAGGGGAUAUUUUAUAUUGUUCUAAUGUCAUUGCUGUGUUAUCCUGAUGGUGAAAUUAUUUCUGAAAUGAUUAACCUCAAAGAAUAGGGCUGUAUCUCAUCUGAGAUUACAGAGUAACUCAUUCAUCUAUUGAAUAAUACAGAAGAGGCCAUGAUAUGGUCAACUGAGUCUGCACCAGAAUGUGUACAGUAUUACCCAUGGUGUCUCAGAGGGAGAUGGGAUAUGCAAAAAACACAUUUUUAAUUCACAAGUGUAUAAUACACACUUGUAUGUGUGUGAAAUAGGACAAAGACAAGCACCCAACGCAUUAUUAUUAUUAUCUCUUCAACAUACUGAAUGUCUCUAAAUCACUAAAUCUAUUCCCUGCUUACAUAGAAAAGUUAGAUGACCUUCCCUGUCAACCUUCAGUCUCAACUUCUGUAUUCUGCUUGUGAAAUUAUUAUCACAUUAGUCCAUGGUAUUUGCAUGGUCAUUUGCUGACCAGUCUCAUUCUGUGGACAUGCUCUGCAGAUAGGUGAGUGAUCCUGUUUCUCUCUGUAAAGUGUCAUGUGUUUCCUUUCAUGCAGUUGAUUUGUAUGUUUACCAAUGUUAAUGUAGAAUAAGAUUUCUAUUAAGAAAUUGAAGCAUAGUUCAGUUUAUUUCAUGUUGGGUGAGGAUAAAAAACUGAAUGGCUAGAUGAUAUAAAGGUGUAUCCCAGUUGUGCUGUCUUAUUGACAGCAGGGUUGGGCUCAAUUUCAUUUUAAUUCCACUAUACUCCACAUUUUCCUCAUUGAAAAGCCUUGAAGAUAAUUGGAAUUGGAAUUUCAGUGUACUUCUUGAAUUGAAAUGGAAUUGACCCCAACCCUGAUUGACAGAGACAGUUACACCAUAUUUAAAUUAAAACAAUGUUGAUGCUGCCACCAUCAUGCUUCACCGUAGGGAUGGUGCAAGGUUUUCUCCAGUCUGUUUGAUGAUUGGCUUUGUUACUGUCUAAUGCUGUAUAAUUCCCUCAACCUGUGGUGUUGCAGUUGUUGGUGUUGCAGUUUGAUGCGAUGUGGCCCUUAGAAACAACCAGUGUGAUUACUCUCAAGUUUCCAGGUGAAUAGAAUAAAUAUUUGUUUGAUACUCUUUCUGUGGAUGCCAGUAUUCCGUUAUGAAUAAAUUAAUGAUAUAGAAUGUAUAUGGCUCAUUAGAGAUAAACAAGGAACUGAUUUGAUAUUGGUCUAAUGUUAUUGUUGUGUUACCUUGAUGGUGAAAUUUAUUAAAUGAUUAACCUCAAAGGAAAGUCAUAUUAUCUGAGAUUACAGAGUAACACACUCUUUACAUCAACAAAAAUACAGAAGUGACUGUCAGGUGUCAGUGUGCAGUGGUAGGACGGAGUCAGGCGCAGGACACAGAACUGAGUAAAAGAUGUACUUUACUCGAAAAGAAACAACAAUAAUUUCCACGCAGGGAAAAACACACCAGCGCACAGAAGUCUAGAACACUAAACAAAGAACAAACACGCACAAAACCAUGUGGGAACCAGAGGGUUAAAUAGGGAAUAAAUUAUAACAUAAUGG
rnacentral:lncRNA from 8 species